GAUGAAGAACGUAGCGAAAUGCGAUAAGUAGUGUGAAUUGCAGAAUUCAGUGAAUCAUCGAAUCUUUGAACGCACCUUGCGCCCUUUGGCUAUUCCGAAGGGCAUGCCUGUUUGAGUAUCAUGAACACCUCAACUCUUUAUGGUUUUCCAUGAAGGGCUUGGACUUUGGGGGUCUUGCUGGCCUUUAGUCAGCUCCUCUCAAACGAAUCAGCUUUCCAGUGUUUGGCAGCGUCACAGGUGUGAUAACUAUCUACGCUUGUGGUUUUCUGCCAGGUAAUCCUCAGUGAUGGGGAUUCGCUGGGGCUUAUAAAUGUCUCUCCUCAGCGAAGACAGCUUUGUGAACGUUUGAUCUCAAAUCAGGUAGGACUACCCGCUGAACUUAAGCAUAUCAAUAAGCGGAGGA
rnacentral:misc_RNA from 1 species